rnacentral:lncRNA from 1 species
GCAGGACCGGGGGAGGAAGUGCGAGAGGAGGGCGUGGGUGCCGCCGUAGAGGCAUCGGGAGGCAACCACGUGACCGCCGGCGCCGCAGAUCUGGAUGAGGACGGAUGAGAUGGCGGACAUACCGCUGGCGGUGCAGUAGGCGGCCUCGGUGCCCUCGACGGCGGCCAUCUGGCGGCCGAGGUUGAGGACGGUUGGGUUGAAGUGCCGGCUGUAGAUGUAGAAGUCGCGGUCGGGUCCGAGCUCACCCGAGAACAUGCGCCGCAUGGUCUCCGCCUCCAUCACAGUGAACGUCGCCGACGCCUCGAUCGACAUGUUCACCCCGCCGUGCU